rnacentral:rRNA from 1 species
CAAUAGCGUAUAUUAAAGUUGUUGCGGUUAAAACGCUCGUAGUUGGAUUUCUGUUGAGGGCAGCCGGUCCGCACUUCGUGCGUGUAUCUGGUUUGACCUCGGCAUCCUCUCAAAAUACGUUUCUGCGCUUGAUUGCGUGGAGCGGAGUUUGAGACUUUUACUUUGAGGAAAUUAGAGUGUUCACGGCAGGCAAUCGCCUUGAAUAUAUUAGCAUGGAAUAAUAAUAUAGGAUCUUGGUUCUAUUUUGUUGGUUUCUAGAGCUAAGAUAAUGAUUAAUAGGGACAAUUGGGGGCAUUCGUAUUAACGCGUCAGAGGUGGAAUUCUUGGAUUGCGUUACGACGAACUACUGCGAAAGCAUUUGCCAAGGAUGUUUUCAUUNA